rnacentral:rRNA from 1 species
CAAUAGCGUAUAUUAAAGUUGUUGCAGUUAAAAAGCUCGUAGUUGGAUUUCUGGUGGGAGCGAUCGGUCUGGCGCUUAGCGCGAGUACUUGCAUCGUCUCCGGCCAUCCUUGGGGAGAGUCUGUCUGGCAUUAGGUUGUCGGGCAGAGGAUCCUCAUCGUUUACUGUGAAAAAAUUAGAGUGUUCAAAGCAGGCUUAUGCCGUUGAAUAUAUUAGCAUGGAAUAAUAAGAGAGGACUUUGGUACUAUUUUGUUGGUUUGCGCACCAAAGUAAUGAUUAAUAGGGACAGUUGGGGGUAUUCGUAUUCCGUUGUCAGAGGUGAAAUUCUUGGAUUUACGGAAGACGAACUACUGCGAAAGCAUUUACCAAGGAUGUUUUCAUUAA